AUAGUGUAAUGAAGGCCAAGGUUGUAAAGGGUUUGAAGGAGUGUGUGGUCAAGUGCCAAAUGCAGCACAGAGGUCAAGAAAAAUUAAAAAGUAAUGACCUUUGGAUUAAGUGGUACUAAGCUCAAAGCAUGGAUAGUUGGGAUAUUGAAGUUGCCAAGGACAAGGGAUGGAAUGUCAGAAUAAAGGAAGUGGGGAAAUUUCAGCAGAAAAAUUAUCAACAAAGUGCAGAGCCAGACCAUGGUAGAUGACAG